AUUGAACGCUGGCGGCAGGCCUAACACAUGCAAGUCGAACGAGUGGCGGACGGGUGAGUAAUGUCUGGGAAACUGCCUGAUGGAGGGGGAUAACUACUGGAAACGGUAGCUAAUACCGCAUAACAUCAGAUGUGCCCAGAUGGGGUUGGCUUGUUGGUGGGGUAACAGCUCCCAAGGGCGACGAUCCCUAGCUGGUCUGAGAGUAUGACCAGCCACACUGGAACUGAGCCCCGGUCCAGACUCCUACGGGAGGAAGCAGUGGGGAAUAUUGCACAAUGGGCGCAAGCCUGAUGCAGCCAUGCCGCGUGUAUGAAGAAGGCCUGCGGGUUGUAAAGUACUUUCAGCGGGGAGGCGUUACCCGCAGAAGAAGCACCGGCUAACGCCGUGCCAGCAGCCGCGGUAAUUC
rnacentral:rRNA from 1 species